CGAUGAAGCCCAGCUUGCUGGGCGGAUUAGUGGCGAACGGGUGAGUAACACGUGAGCAACCUGCCCCUGACUCUGGGAUAACAGCCGGAAACGGUUGCUAAUACCGGAUACGCAUCAUGGCCGCAUGGUCUGUGGUGGGAAAGAUUUCUCGGUUGGGGAUGGGCUCGCGGCCUAUCAGCUUGUUGGUGAGGUAGUGGCUCACCAAGGCGUCGACGGGUAGCCGGCCUGAGAGGGUGACCGGCCACACUGGGACUGAGACACGGCCCAGACUCCUACGGGAGGCAGCAGUGGGGAAUAUUGCACAAUGGGCGGAAGCCUGAUGCAGCAACGCCGCGUGAGGGACGACGGCCUUCGGGUUGUAAACCUCUUUUAGCAGGGAAGAAGCGAGAGUGACGGUACCUGCAGAAAAAGCGCCGGCUAACUACGUGCCAGCAGCCGCGGUAAUACGUAGGGCGCAAGCGUUAUCCGGAAUUAUUGGGCGUAAAGAGCUCGUAGGCGGUUUGUCGCGUCUGCUGUGAAAUCCCGAGGCUCAACCUCGGGUCUGCAGUGGGUACGGGCAGACUAGAGUGCGGUAGGGGAGAUUGGAAUUCCUGGUGUAGCGGUGGAAUGCGCAGAUAUCAGGAGGAACACCGAUGGCGAAGGCAGAUCUCUGGGCCGUUACUGACGCUGAGGAGCGAAAGGGUGGGGAGCAAACAGGCUUAGAUACCCUGGUAGUCCACCCCGUAAACGUUGGGAACUAGUUGUGGGGGCCUUUCCACGGUCUCUGUGACGCAGCUAACGCAUUAAGUUCCCCGCCUGGGGAGUACGGC
rnacentral:rRNA from 1 species